rnacentral:tRNA from 1 species
ACAGUGGUGGUUCAGCGGUAGAGUUCUCACCUUCCAUGCAAGAGACCCAAGUUCAAUUCCUGACCAAUGUA